UACGUAGGGUGCGAGCGUUGCCCGGAUUUAUUGGGCGUAAAGGGCGCGUAGGCGGCCUGGCGCGUCGGCUGUGAAAUCUCCCGGCUCAACUGGGAGGGGACGGCCGAUACGGCUGGGCUUGAGCGAGGUAGGGGAGAGUGGAAUUCCCGGUGUAGUGGUGGAAUGCGUAGAUAUCGGGAGGAACACCAGUGGCGAAGGCGGCUUCCUGGUCCAGCACCGACGUUCAGGCACGAAAGCGUGGGGAGCAAACAGG
rnacentral:rRNA from 1 species